rnacentral:rRNA from 1 species
UUUCUAAGGAAGAUGUUGAG